AGAGUUUGAUCCUGGCUCAGGACGAACGCUGGCGGCGUGCUUAACACAUGCAAGUCGAACGGUAAGGCCCUUCGGGGUACACGAGUGGCGAACGGGUGAGUAACACGUGGGUAAUCUGCCCUGCACAUCGGGAUAAGCCUGGGAAACUGGGUCUAAUACCGAAUAGGACCACAGGACACAUGUCCUGUGGUGGAAAGCUUUUGCGGUGUGGGAUGGGCCCGCGGCCUAUCAGCUUGUUGGUGGGGUGAUGGCCUACCAAGGCGACGACGGGUAGCCGGCCUGAGAGGGUGUCCGGCCACACUGGGACUGAGAUACGGCCCAGACUCCUACGGGAGGCAGCAGUGGGGAAUAUUGCACUAUGGGCGAAAGCCUGAUGCAGCGACGCCGCGUGGGGGAUGACGGCCUUCGGGUUGUAAACCUCUUUCACCAUCGACGAAGGUCCGGGUUUUCUCGGGCUGACGGUAGGUGGAGAAGAAGCACCGGCCAACUACGUGCCAGCAGCCGCGGUAAUACGUAGGGUGCGAGCGUUGUCCGGAAUUACUGGGCGUAAAGAGCUCGUAGGUGGUUUGUCGCGUUGUUCGUGAAAUCUCACGGCUUAACUGUGAGCGUGCGGGCGAUACGGGCAGACUUGAGUACUGCAGGGGAGACUGGAAUUCCUGGUGUAGCGGUGGAAUGCGCAGAUAUCAGGAGGAACACCGGUGGCGAAGGCGGGUCUCUGGGCAGUAACAGACGCUGAGGAGCGAAAGCGUGGGGAGCGAACAGGAUUAGAUACCCUGGUAGUCC
rnacentral:rRNA from 1 species